CAGUCGCCGCGGUAAUACAGAGGGUGCAAGCGUUAAUCGGAAUUACUGGGCGUAAAGCGCGCGUAGGUGGUUUGUUAAGUUGGAUGUGAAAUCCCCGGGCUCAACCUGGGAACUGCAUCCAAAACUGGCAAGCUAGAGUAUGGUAGAGGGUGGUGGAAUUUCCUGUGUAGCGGUGAAAUGCGUAGAUAUAGGAAGGAACACCAGUGGCGAAGGCGACCACCUGGACUGAUACUGAUACUGAGGUGCGAAAGCGUGGGGAGCAAACAGGAUUAGAUACCCCUGUAGUCCCUGUCUCUUAUAC
rnacentral:rRNA from 1 species